GAUAUUGUCAAAUCACUCGUUGAGUCGUUGGUGGAGUGACAGUGUGUCCACUUUGUUAAGCCAAAGAUAAAUAAUCAAUAAAUCUUAAAAGUGCAUUGUAAAUUGUUGCUUUCUACGUAAAUAGCACAAAAUGGGUCGUACCUGUGAUAUCAUUGGAUGCACAAAUUCAAAUUACAAGACGGAAAAAUUAAGCUAUCACAGUUUACCAUCAAAUGAACUUUUGAGAGGAAAAUGGCUAGAAGCCAAUAGUGCAAAUGGAGGAUUUCGGCAGUCUAAAACGAGAAAGAAAGCGCACAACUGCGACAACACAUAUAUUUGUGGGGAACAUUUUUCAGAAGACUGCUACAUUCCGACAUCAAAGCAGAAACAUCUAAAACCUACCGCUGUCCCAACAUUCCCUCCAACAAAGAAACAAAAGUGUAUAGAAAACAACAGUUUAGAUGAUGCUACAGAAGGUUAUGUUCACAAGAGUGAAAGCCCAUUUCAAGGGACACCUGAAAAAUAAGCGAGCUUCUAAAUCAACUGUUGCAGACGGCACAACUAAACCAAAAUUCUUCGUCAACGUAAAUUUGUUUAUGCCAAAAAACAGUGCAGGAAGAAUUCAUCCCGUUAACGCUAUUUCGUUUGCCCUGACAACGCAGGAUACGAAUUAGGCCUACAGGUAAUCUAAAAUUGAGCGAAGAUGGUAGACAAGAGUAGCAACGCAGAAGCUGCUCACCUCUGGAAGGCGUUGAGCGAAGAUGAAAUCAAAACUAAUUUUGAUGCUGAAAGACUUGGAAACCAUGCUUUCGACCAUGUCGAGAAGCUGAGUAACAUUCUGCUUUUACAAUGGCACCUCUUAAUAAAAGGAACUUAAGCCAUCCAAUCUAGGGCUUCCAUCAAAUCGUGCAGGCUGCAUGGAAGUCGCAUUUACCUUUGCUGUGAACAUCAUGAACACAUACACUAUUUGAAGCAUUUCCAAUGAUGCUGAAGAUUAAUUUUACUUCGGUUA
rnacentral:lncRNA from 1 species